rnacentral:rRNA from 1 species
AACAAACGCUGGCGGCGUGCCUAAUACAUGCAAGUCGAACGGGGUAGCAAUACCUAGUGGCGCACGGGUGAGGAACGCGUGGAUAAUCUGCCAUAGAGUGGGGGAUAACUAGUCGAAAGAUUAGCUAAUACCGCAUAAGACCACAGGAGCUGCGGCUCUAGGGGUCAAAGGUUUUUCGCUCUAAGAUGAGUCCGCGUAAGAUUAGCUAGUUGGUGAGGUAACGGCUCACCAAGGCGACGAUCUUUAACUGGUCUGAGAGGAUGAUCAGUCACACUGGAACUGAGACACGGUCCAGACUCCUACGGGAGGCAGCAGUAGGGAAUAUUGCACAAUGGAGGAAACUCUGAUGCAGCGACGCCGCGUGAGUGAUGAAGGCCUUCGGGUCGUAAAGCUCUGUCGCAGGGGAAUAACACAAUGAAUGUACUCUGUAAGAAAGGAUCGGCUAACUUCGUGCCAGCCGCCGCAGUAACAC